CUGAAGAACAUGGUUUCUCUCUUGAGAAGCAUCAGCGCAUCAAAACUUUGGCUUCUGGAGCUGAGGCGAAUAAUCUGUCAGCAGGGAUACCAUGACAGCCUGGAAUGACACACAGAGAAAGAGAAAGAAAGAAAUGGAUGAGAAACUCAAGCCUGGAAACAACACAGAACUGGGUUUGGACCCAAGUUUCUCUGACUCCACUGUUAAGAGGUAGUUUUACUGCGUUUCAGUGCCUGGAAGAGAGCCUGGCACACAGUAGAUGCUCAGUAUAUGGUUGCUGAAAUGAACUUAACUCUGGGACGUCCACAUCAUCCGGUUUGGAGACAUAAAGAGGACAGCGUGUGUGUCACCAACCCCCUUCCAGAAUCCAUGUCGGGUAUCACUAGUCAGUUAUGUCACUCUUUCCUUCCGAGACCACAGGCAGGCUUAGAAGCUUCUGAACGUAGGACUCCAUGUAGCCCGCUGAUGAGAUUGAGGACCUAAGAUUAAAAGUCAUUUGCCAUCUAGAUAGCUCAACCUACUUAUUUUAUGUGGAAGGAAACUGAGACCCAGAGAGGUCACACUUAGCCAAAAUGAUGUGGCUGACUAGUAUCAAAGACAGUUACAGAAUUCAAGUCUUCUCACUCCCAGUCAAGCAUUCUUUCUAUUUUAGAUUCUUUACUUUCAUU